GUUUUGCUUUCACAAAAUCAGUAGAUUCUUUUUAGGCCAUGUAAAUACAGUAUAUACAGUGAUAUGCACAUCCGUCCUAAAUGUCCCAAGAGGAAUUCCACAAAAUUGGAAACCUAAUUAUUCCAAACCACCAACUGACAACAGAAAAGCAGGAUGAUA
rnacentral:lncRNA from 1 species